CCAAAACGGAGCACUGCAAAUUAAAGUCCAAAUUGCAAAUAAUAAAAUCGCCGCCAGCAACGAGAAAUUGGUUCUGAUCUGGAAACGAAAAGAAGGGAAUUGAAAAGAAAAGGAAACGAAAUCCACACCACCACUAUCUCUCCAAGCUGCUGCACUACUUCAAUUCUCACAUCUCGUAAUCAAAUACUUCUCAAUUCUCCAUUUCGUCACAUUUAUCGUGCUCUGAUAUUGAAACCAGAUAACAAGACUGUAGAAAAAAUAAAAUCGCCGGGCCAAACCCUAACCCUAACCCUAAUCCUCGUUUGUAAUUUAAAAAUUUGAUGGCAAGCGACACCGAGGCUUCCCGUCGCAAGCACCGUCGAUCACCUACGGACGAUGAUGCGCCUGCUCUGGUCGACGAGGAGAAAGAUAAGCCGUCUAAGCGGCAUAAACAUCGCCACCACCACCGUCAUCAUCGUUCUCACCGAAGUAAAAAGCACGACGGUGAUGAUAAAAGCAAACAAGACGGAGGCGGCGGUCAUGAUGAGGUCUCUAUCCUUUCUUCUGCUCCUCCUCCUCCUCCGGUUCCGAAUGAUGACGUGGAGGAAGGUGAGAUUUUGGAAGAGGAGGAUAAUUUCACUUCCCAGAAUCUGGCUGUUCAUGCUGACAAAGUUGACAGUGGUUUGACUAAUUCUGGCAGCAAUGUUAGUUUGCCUAAUGCUAAGCCUGGGGCUUUAGAUGAAUUAGAUUCUAGAAAUGACCACAAGUCUCUUUCUAAUGGGGAUUUAGGUCGUGAAAAAUAUUCUUUUGAGACCAAGAAACAGCAUGGGGAUUCUAGGACAGCUUCAAGAGGAAUUUACAAGCAAAAGAGUCAUCGAGGUGAUUUUACACCUGAGGGUGAUGACGUUAAAUUGAAUGAUCGGGUGAAGCCACUGUCUUCUAAGAGUGGGGAGGACAAGUUAGAGACUGUGGCACGCGGUGCUUCUUGUGAUAGAUACCAUGAUGAAGUUAUAGUAAGGAGUAGAUCUCGUUCACGCAGCAUAUUAGAUGAAGAUGCUCUUUUGAAGAGAAGGCGACUAGAUGAUAAGGCUGAGAAUGAUUCUGGCGAUGAGAGAAUGCCUAGGCAUGAUAUGUAUAUGCAGGGUGGUAGUAGAGAUGUGGAGAGGGAGCGCAGUACUGGUUACAACCAAAGUCUGGGAAGGGAGGAGAGCCAUGGAAGCUGGGGCUCACAAGGCAGGGAGAGGGAGAUGGCCUGGGUACAGAGAAGGGAGCAUGGACGAGAGAUGAGCAGGGAAAGGGACCAAAGAAGAGACAAAGACCGAGAGAGGAGCAGGGACCUGGAUUUGAGAAUGGAGAAAGACAGAGAGAGGAGCAGGGGCAGGGAGAUAGACAGAGAUCAAAGAGGUGCGAAGGAAUGGGAGAGACGGAAGGAUAGGGAGAUUGAGACAGACCAGAGAAGAGAGAAGGAACGGAUGUGGAGCAGGGAUAUGGAGAUAGAGAGGGAUCGGAGAAGAGAGAAGCCACAGGAGAGGAGCUGGGAUAGGGAUGUGGAUAAGGAUCGCAGGGAAGAGAGGGGGCGCGGUAGAAGCUUGGAUAGAAGGAGCUGGGAUAGGGAUGUGGACAAGGAUCGCAGGGAAGAGAGGGGGCGCGAUAGAAGCAUGGAUAGAAGGAGCUGGGAUAGGGAUGUGGACAAGGAUCGUAGGGAAGAGAGGGGGCGCGAUAGAAGCUUGGAUAGGAGAAGGGACAUGGAACAUCGUAGGAACAUGGACAUGGAGAGACAGGAGAAUAGAAGCAAAGAAAAAGACAUAUAUAGGACCAGUGACAGACAAAGACAUAGGGAGGGAGAGGGGCGAGAUAGGGAUAAUCACCCUGUGAGGGAAAGAGUUAAGGACCGUGAUUGGAGAACUGAUAGGGAGAGUCUUAGUGAUAGAAAUAGGGACAAAGACAAGGACUCUAAGGGCAAUUCAGCUAAGGUAUAUAACUCUAACAGUGGUUCUUUGGGAGGAGACAGGGAGAAAUUGGAAAGAGAUGAAGAUGAACAGGAUGAGUUUGAAGAGAGGAUUGCGUUAAAACUUGCUGAACAAGAUGAAGAUCUUGAUAGAGUAAAAGAGGAAAGCAGAAAGCGCAGGCAAGCCAUUUUAGAAAAAUAUAGGAAUCAGAAGAAACCCCAGCAAAAUGAUACUCAAUUAGUUCAUGUGGAGAAAGCAGAUAGCCCUCUUGCGCAAUGUUCGGUCCAGUUAUUAACUGCUUCUAAUGCUGGUCCAGAUUCUAACAAUGCUAAGGUUGAAAGUGAUCCAUCAAUAGCAGCUUCUGCUUCAGAAAGUAUUCAUGUUAAGAUGGAAAGUGAUGUGUAUGUUACCGAGCCAGUAUUUUCUGUGGGUAAGACACCUCCACAAAAUGGAAAUCAAGCUUCUGAGAGGAUUUCUGGUGCCGCAGGGCUUGGUGAGGGUACUCCCAAGAGUGAGGGAUCAGAUGAAAAAUACUGUGAUGAUAUAUUUGCAGAGACACCUACUAGAGUUCGUAAACCUAGUAAAGGAGAUGGUUUACAAAUUGCACGGAGCAGUUUAUAUGACAAUUGGGAUGAUCCUGACGGGUAUUACGAUUAUCGGUUUGGUGAAAGACUCGAUGGUCGGUAUGAAAUUGUUGCUGCUCAAGGGAAAGGUGUCUUCUCCACAGUAGUUCGAGCAAAGGAUUUAAAGGCUGGUGUUGGUGAACCACAAGAGGUGGCUAUAAAAAUUUUACGUAAUAAGGAACAAAUGCAUAAAGCAGGUCAGAAUGAGGAACUGAUAUUCAGUAAAUUAGCGGCAGCAGAUCCGGAUAACAAGCGCCACUGCGUUCGUUUUCUUUCAAGUUUUAAAUAUAGAAAUCAUCUUUGUUUAGUUUUUGAGUCUCUUCAUAUGAACCUUCGCGAGGUUCUAAAAAAGUUUGGUCGAAAUAUUGGCCUUAAAUUAACUGCUGUUAGAGCUUAUGCAAAGCAGCUUUUUAUUGCGCUGAAGCAUCUUAAGAAUUGUGAAGUUCUUCAUUGCGAUAUAAAGCCUGAUAACAUGCUGGUAAAUGAGGCAAAAAAUGUGCUGAAACUUUGUGAUUUUGGUAAUGCUAUGCUUGCUGGUAAAAAUGAAAUCACUCCAUAUCUUGUGAGCCGUUUUUAUCGAGCACCGGAAAUAAUUCUUGGCUUGCCAUAUGAUCAUCCAGUGGAUAUGUGGUCUGUUGGCUGCUGCUUGUAUGAGCUGUAUGCUGGGAAAGUCCUUUUUCCAGGUGCAACGAAUAGUGACAUGCUUCGACUUCACAUGGAAUUGAAGGGCCCUUUUCCAAAGAAAAUGCUGAAGAAGGGCGGUUUUGUCGAUCAGCAUUUUGACCAGGAUUUAAAUUUUAAUUCCAUUGAGGAAGAUCCAGUGACUAAGAAGAUUAUAAAGAGGGUAUUGGUGAACGUAAAGCAAAAAGAAAUUGGAUCAAUCAUUAAGAUCUCCCCCGGUGACGACUCAAGUAUGCUAUCAGCUUUUAAAGAUCUACUUGACAAAAUUUUUGUGCUGGAUCCUGAGAAGAGUCCUCUAAUCAGGGUAUAUCUGUCGUCAUUUUCAAUAUGCUGGCAUAUGGAUGGUGAACAGUUUUCAGCGCCGAUGAAGCCAGAAGCCAUAAUGUAUGGUCAGGCGAACUUACCGACAGUUCUUUCUGGGGAAUUUACUGUUCCUAUCGAUGUCACUCUUGCUCUGGGGCAUCCCUCAAGUGCUUAAUAGCUUAAAAGGCACCCAGGAGAAGGUACCUUGGUUUGUUUAUUGGGAGCAUAUUCACAAAUGCAAAAAUAAUAUAAUGUUUUCUUGCAACCUUUACGUAUGACUGUUGCCUCUAAUUUGCUAUAGAAAAGUUUCUCGUAUCACUUUGGAUUUGUUGCGGUUAGUUUCCUCGAGAGUAGUUCUAGGAGAUCUCGGACAUUGAACACGUGUACUUUUUGUGCAUUCUUAUUGUUAUUGUAAAGGGAAAUGUUUUAACAAAUACACUAUUGCUAUGCAUCCGAAGUACUAGACAUAAAAGUGACUUGCCCCUCUUCUUGAUGUAUUUGUGCAAGUAUUUGUUAAGUUGUGUUUUCAAUCGCCUGGCAUCAUUUUUAACUUCUCUUUUGCUUUUAUUUUAUGUUUUUAUCUUCUUUGUAACUUCUCUUUUUGCUUUUGUGUCCUUUUUAUUUUUGUCAUUAUAUCUGUGUAAUCCGAGUUCUAAUGUUUUCCUGUACAUCUGAUCCAUGGACUUUCUAUCUGGAGGAAAAUGCUCCUGAAACUGCUGCUUCAACAUUAACGUAAAAGCAUGUGUGAUUCUUGUCACAGCUUUGCGAUUCGUGUAAGUAUUUUAAAUCUUCUUACUGGGUAUUAGAUCUUUUAGCUCCAGAAUACAGUCAAAUGGUUUUUAUGGUAAUUUUUAUGAUGUUCUGUGUUGUAUUGUGGAUAACUGCUGUUUGAGAGUCCAAGAUUAUAUGCUCAUGCUGUUUGCUUGCCGGUAAAAUAAAAAUGAGGGAUUGUAGUUUUCUUUACCACAAAAGCAUGAGCUUGGGGCUGUGUGAUAGUCAAAGCUACUGCAACUCGUUAGCAUUUAAAUUUUAUUUUAUUUAAUUAACAUAAACAGAAUCAAUACUUCAAUUUUUAUGUUUUGUUUAGACUUUUAGGCACCAUUUGCUCUAUCUGCUUGUUUUUGUUUGCCAAUGUUGCAAGUUGGUUAGGGACCUAGGGUCUAUGGGAUUUAGUUGGGAAGGGAUAGAACAAACAGGUGGAAGUCAGGGGCACCAUUAAAUUAGUGUGGAAACCGUGGAAUACCUUCUACAUUAGUUUGAAACCUAAGUAUUGUGAAAUGGGUUAUAAAAUUAUACUCCCUCCGUCCCAAUAGAGUUGUCCAUUUUGAGAAAUUUUUUUGUCCCAAAAUACUUGUCCACUUUCAAAAAGUAACUAACUUUUACACUUAAUUUUUCUAUAUUACCCCUAUUUAAAAUCCACUAAUGAGUAAAUUGAAAGUAAAUUGCAAGUGUGCCCUAUAUUAAAUAGGGGUAUGACAAGAAAAGUUAGUAAAAAUUCACAAAACCCACAAACAAUAAUUGCUUUUCUUAAACUGUGUGAUAAAGGCAAAGUGGACAACUCUAUUGGGACGGAGGGAGUAAAUAAAAGUAUCUCCAUAACUCGAAACGUUUUUCCUUAAAAACAAACCCCGAACUAUAUUUGUAACCUAAGUACAAAAGAAUAUGAAUUUCCAUAAUAUUGUCUGUUGGCAACCUACACCUUCUUGUAACUCCCUAUGAAACCUGAAACGUUACACCUGGCCUCCUGAUCGGCUGCUUCUACAUUAGUUUGAAACCUAAGUAUUUUGAAAUGGGUUAAUAAAUUAUAAAUAAAAGUAUCUUCAUAACUCAAAACGUUUUUCCUUAAAAACAAACCCCGAACUAUAUUUGUAACCCAAGAUAAUUUGUAAAAUGACGAGUACAAAAGAAUAUAAUUUCCAUCUGUUGGCAACCUACACCUUCUUGUAACUCCCUAUGGAACCUGAAACGGUACACCUGGCCUCCCUGAUCGACUGCUUCUGUGCAAUGGUUUAUUAACACUUUUUUUUUCCGCACAAUUAAGAACUUACGUGUUAACUGUAAAGCUUUAUAGAAUUUGUUUUUAUUUGGAUUUUUAGAUGUUUGAUUUGUUUUGAGUAUGAACUUGAAAAUUAUAAAGCUGUUUAGUUUGCUAGAUUUGUUUUUCAAUGUGCCAUUUUUCUUUUUAUUUGGUUGGACUCGAUUUACAGUUGGCAAUGAUUUUUUUUUUCUUUCUUGACUUAUGCUUCAGUUUGUCUUUUUGCCUUUGAUGUUUUACUAGCAUUAUUUUCUUUUUCGAAACUACAAUUUUUAUAAAUAAUGUUUUUUUGCAUUAAUAUGGAAAUUUUUAUGGGAAAAAAUCUUGUUAGUUGGAUUAAAUUACAUUAGGUUGUUGCACUCUGUGGAUUGUUGAAAAAUUUGCUCAUGCAGACUGUUAGAGAGAUUAUAUCGGGAAAUAGUUUGUACACUGUAGAAAAAAAUUUAAAUUUUACAUUGGUGUACUGCUAAAAAUGAGAGGAAGAGCUUUUGGCUUCAGGAAUAUGUUUUUGUUCCCGCAUUUUCCUAUAUAAUUUCCUGCACAUGAUACAAUAUGCUAAUAAUGUGCUAAUAACGAUUGGAAUUUUCCUAUUGCAAUUGCUUUAUUGGUUUUUAGUGUGUAUAUAUAUUAAUUGAUCAGAUCUCCGGUCUUGGGUCUUUGUUUUUUCUUUUAUGUUUCACUAUGCAUCCUCACAGGUAUGUGCAAGAUACAUAAUUCUAGAUUAUUGAUGAUGUUGGAUCCCAUGUUUUGCCAUCGUUACCGAACAGAUACCAUUUGGCUUUUGAUUGUUUUGGGGGUAAAGUAAUAUUCGCUAACCAUUGUGCAGUUAUGCUUUUUACCCUCCAAGGCUUCAUUGUGUUUUUGUGGUAAAAUUGUUUAGCCAUUGUGCUAAACAAAAUUGUUGUGCUGCGAGGUGAAGACUGUCUAUUUUAUUCAUUAAAAUUUUUAAUUCUUGUGACAUGCGUGUUUUAGCAAUGGCUUUGUGCCCCCAAUGUGCGAUGUAAAUUUAUGCGUGUAGUUUUAAUUGAUACAUCACAAUUUUCUUCUUUAAAGCUAUGUUUUAUUCUCAGGAUAGGCAAGGAAUGUUAAAUAUUUUUUGUUUGAAAUCGUUGUUCUUUA